rnacentral:sRNA from 1 species
CCCUAGCCCCGAUUGCAACGGCAUCCUUUUUUGUUUUUGUUCCUCAGUUCGAUUGAAUGACAAAUCUUCUAAAAACAAAAAAGAUAUAGUGGAAAGCGGGAUUAAGC